ensembl:lncRNA
GUGAUGUUGGUAAAAAGAAAUGAGUGAAGAUAGUUUAGUGCAUUUGAGGUAACUGCAGACCACGGAGUGUGUUGGUGUUCAGGGAAUAUACCUUGACAACAAAAGCAGUAGAUAAACUGGUGGAAGGAGUCCUUACACAGAGAAGAGUUCUAAAAUCACAGGUGAAAAGUUGAAGAGCCAUUCCACUAAGCUACGAAAGGUCUCCUGCAAAAAGCAAGGAAGAAUAUCUUUAAUGUUUUUUGGUACUGAAGAAGAACAUUUCCAGAGCUGAUAUCCAUCAGAAAUAAGUGGUUUGAAGUGAUCGGUCUCUGUCAUGUUUCUGGACGGGCUGACUCAGCUGCUUCAGUGAAGAGUAAGCAGCUUCAGGAAGGAGAGAGGACCGUCCUCUCUGUCUCCGUCUGUGCAUCUGAAGAUCCAGAGCAGACUCUGCAGUUAUUUGCUGAUGUUUUCACGAAGUUGUGCGUCUUCUGGGCCGGCGGGAGCCGCGGUUGGGCAGCAGGGGGCAGGAGCGCUCCAGAAAUCCCCGCUGCGCUCCGGCGCUGCCCGCUGCUGCGUGACCCGGCACGGGGAGGAGGGAGCGGGGCUGCUGCUGAGGAGGAGGCUUUGGGAUGGGCGUCCUCCUCCAAGCUGCGCUGCUCUUGGGAAAGACCUUCUGAGAGUGCAAGUUUGGGAAAGGGAGUGAAGAUGUUUUUGGUCCGAAGCGAGGCUUCUUGGGGGGUUGUGAAUGGGGAUUUUAACGGGCACGGCCCGUUUUUCUGCUGCGUCUUCAUUUAGGAAAUGAAUAUGCGGGGAGAUGAGGGCGAGGGUGAAGAGUACUACCUGGCCCUUCCCAGACCUCGGUAUUGACAGAGAGGAUAAUUAGCCGUUUAUUAUACUUUUACAUAUGUUUUGCUUCAAGGACGUGGAAUCUCGUGUUAAUCACAUACGUCGCUUGUUCUUAUUUCCUGAGUGGGUGACUGAAAGAGGAAAUUAAAUUGUGCAGAAUUGCAUGUAUUACUGAUAGCACAGAAAAAGAGCACUCUCUACACGGGGAGCCCAAACCGUUAAAGGCCUGUGCUGCUUAAAGGUAACUAAUGAUUCCUAGCUGUGAUAAAAGUCUGAGGAUUUAGAAGACAAGGUUGUUAGGGAGAGGUAAUAAGCUCUAGGAGAUUAGCUCUUAAAACUGGAAAUGAAGACAGCCUUUUGGGCUCACAGGUACUUCUAUUCCAUACAGGGGGUAUAUAAGCAUAGCUUUCUGUUACUUGUACUAUGGGAGGAGUCAUAUAUGCACCUGCUGUGGUUUAACCCUGGCAGGCAGGUUCACACUACACCGCUGCUCACUCACUCCCUACAGUGGGAUGGGAAAUAAUCCAGGAACUUGUGGAUUGAGAUGCAGACAAUUCGCUAGGUAAAGCAAAUCUGCACGCACAAGCAAAGCUAAACGAGGAAUUCAUUUACUGCUUCCCACCAUCAGGCAGUUCAGCAAUCGCGUUUCUUGGGAAGACAAAUGCCGUCUCGCCAAGCAUCAGCCCCUUCCUUGUCCUUUCCCCCAGCUUUUAUUGUUGAGCACGAUGUCCUAUGGCAUGGGAUGUCCCUUUGGGCAGUCUGGGUCAGCUGUCCUGGUUGUGUCCCCUCCCAGCUGCUGUUGCUCCUUGCUGGAAGGGCAGUUUGACUAAUGCAGAAGUCCUUGAUGCUGUGCAAGCACUGCUCAGCAACAACUAAAACAUCAGGAUGUUAUCAACACUGUUUUCAUUACAGGGCCACACAAGCUGCUGCAGAGAAAACUAACUCUGUCCCAGGCCAAACCAGUGCAGGACCACAUAUUUUUGUAAGACAACUAUUUUCUGUGUUGUUAAUGCUGCACCAUCACUACUUACAUUGGUGUAACUUGCAUAGAGACCUGCUUUGCUGUAGUGGAAUGUAGGGGCUCCUGAGUUUGUCCAGCUAAUUUGAGACGUUCCUGCAGACCUCCACCUUCACUGCCUGCCUUACUCAACUCAGCAUGGAUAUAUACACCUCCUAAAGCUGUCAUCCAGACCCUGAGCUGUGCCCUUCAAAAAGUGUUGCUCAUAGCAAGGCCUGAAGGUAGCGUCAAGGAUUGAAAGUUAUGGUUAUAUUUUCCUGUCUGUUGGGAUUUUCUGAAUAUCCACUGUUAAAGUUUUAGACCAGUAAUGUUGUCAUCCAUUUGGAUGUGGAAUUAUAUUACCAGGAAGCUGGUUUUGUUUUUUGUAGAUUCAUUAAAUUGACCAGUGAGGAAAAAGGGAGAGAAGGCACUUAAAUGUCAUCCAAUACUAAAAUAAGACAACUGGAUAUUUUUAUUUGACGAAAUUGUGCAAUUCUUCUUUUAUGGCUCCCAGUCAAUGGUCUUCAAAGUCAACAGCAUUCUUUGAAUCAAACCCUAUGGCCGUUAUAAACUUUUAAAAAGAAGCUCUGCACAUUAAUGUAAUGUGGUUUAGGAACUCUACUUUUCCAGGCCGAUGUGCUGAAUGUGUCUCCUCUUAACAUUAAUAAAGGCAUAUGGCAAGAGAGGAAAGAACUGCAGAAGCAGCCUCCCUGUUUCGUGCUAGGAGUUGUGAUGCUUGGAGAGUACACAUACAAACAGCGAGCUCCUCGAGAAGCCUACCACUGCUUCUGCUAGCUGUGGGGAAAAAUCAGAGGCCAGAAGUUGAUUCUAUUUUUGUCCAAACAGCCUGUGGAAAGCAAGACAAAGUUUCCUGUGAGAUCAUGCUGCUUCUGAAGCCUCCUGAGCCUGCCAGCUGACUAUGGAAAGGCAACAAAUAACUAGUCUUCCUCUCUUGUUGCGUGUGCGUGGCUGUUAGGCAAGAGCAACACAAAUGGACAACGGCACUCAUGAGCAAGGCAGCGUUUUUCUCGUGAUCCUGUGCUUAGGUGAAUAGCGAUGUUUCUUAGGGAUCUGUUUCUCACAUAGGCUGGGAAGGACAAAUAGUAGAGACAGGAGGUGACAUUUAUAGCUUGCUGUGUCAGCAGGAGGCAGUGGGUUGCACUCGUGGCACCAAUGGCUGUUACUGCAUGCAUGCUGCUCAUCAGUAAGCAAAAUUGUCCAGACUUUUCCCAUUACAUAAAACAUUAUCCUAAAAUUGCCACAAUUUCUUGUCAGGGUGUUUUUGUAGCCUUGCUGUAAUCCUGGAACACCAGAAUCUAUGAUUUACAGAUAUUUUCAGACCAAGAACCUACAGCUCAGAAACAACCCCUCAUUUUCAAUCAGAGUUGUAGCUCAGAAAAUUUUCCCAUGCUUUAAUCCACUGAUGGCCUUUUACCCAUCCAGGUGACAUUGUAGAGCUAGUGAUAUCAUCCCUGCCCAAAACACACAUGGAGCAAGGUCCAGCAACCCCGGUCUGUCUGAGAGGAUGGAUGUUUGUCCUGCUAGCCUAUAAGAAGUUAUGCUAAACAACAUGCUGACCAUGCCUUGGGGUGCUAUUGUCUGACACCUUCCUUGACUUUCCUCAACAAUCUUCCAAUUUCUCUAUAUGUUGGUUCCCUUCAACAGCAGAUGCUACUGAUUAAAUCCACAGUCACACAAUUCUUCA